rnacentral:lncRNA from 1 species
CGCUCUGCGAGCAGCACCCGUGGGGAGCUCAGUGACCUUCUCGCUCCCAUCAUCCCUUGGGCCACAGUUUCUAAAGCAGCCCCACAAACACUCACCUGAUUUCGGCGUCAGACCUAUGAGGCAGGUAGGGAGGGGUUCUUCCUAACAUCCUCAUCUUACAAAUGGAAACGGAGGCACAGGGAGGAAUUUCACUCUUGUUGCCCAGGCUGGAGUGCAAUGGCAAGAUCUCGGCUCACUGCAACCUCCGCCUCCCGGGUUCAAGCGAUUCUCCUGCCUCAGCCUCCCGUGUAGCUGGGACUACAGGGGGUCCCAUCCCUCCCCAUUGUCUUGAUGGGCAUCUGUAUGUUGACGGCCCUCUAAGGACGUUGUCACCCUUCUGAGCUCCCAAUUCACGUACCUGAGGUCGGCCUGAUGUUUCCACUUGCUUAUCUAAUGGACACACCCAACCCGAAAGGAACUCUUCACUUGUAACCUUAAACUGGUUAUUCUCCAGGAUGAUGGAUUCACACCUGCCUCGGCCAUGCACCCCAUCACAAAACCAGAAGCCUAGGAGUGCUCCUGUCAUCUUGAUUUUUCUCUCACAUCAGUGAUUCCAAAAUAAGGACUUAACCUGUGUGCUUCUCUUCUUCUCGCUGUCCCCACCCACCAGAGUCUCCCACCUGGACUGUUACCAUUGCCUCCUAACUGACCUUCCUACUUGCAUGCCUGUCAUCAUCUGCCCAUUUUCAACAUGCCUUCCAGAAGACAAAAUCUAUACUUAUCAGCUGAAGUUUGCAUAAAAUGCUCCAGUGCCUUCCACUUGCACCCAGGAUUCAAUCCAAAGCCCCUCCCAGGGCUGCCCAGGCUGUUUCCCCAACCUCCUUAGGGCCAUCUCCUCCUGGCUCCUACCCUCCUUGGCCCACUGCUGCCCCCGGAUCACACCCAGCUCCUCCCAGGACCUCAGCCCUGGCUGCUCCAGACCUUCCACUUGGUCCCUUGCCUUCUGUCAGUUCCCAAAGGUCAUCUUCCCAGAGAGACCCUCCCUGACCCUGGGUAAACUGCGUCUCCCUAUGCUGCUCCAGCCAGCACCCUGUUGACUCCCCUCACAAUGCUAACAAGCAUCUGCAUUCCAUUUGCAUUUGUGGUUGUUUGCUUGUUUGUUCUGUCUCCCCCACUAGACAUUCCAGGAAGGUGAGGCCAUGCCUUGCCAG